rnacentral:rRNA from 1 species
UACGUAGGGGGCAAGCGUUGUCCGGAAUCAUUGGGCGUAAAGCGCGUGUAGGCGGCCCGAUAAGUCCGCUGUGAAAGUCCAGGGCUCAACCCUGGAAUGCCGGUGGAUACUGUCGGGCUCGAGUCCGGAAGAGGCGAGUGGAAUUCCUGGUGUAGCGGUGAAAUGCGCAGAUAUCAGGAGGAACACCGGUGGCUAAGGCGGCUCUCUAGUACGGUACUGACGCUGAGACGCGAAAGCGUGGGGAGCGAACAGG